GCAGAUAUAGAUUAAUAGGUAAACUCAUUAGUUUUCCAAACUACAAAUUACGGGUUCGAAUCCCGUUAUCUGCU
rnacentral:tRNA from 1 species